GGCUCGGUAGCUCAGAUGGUUAGAGCGCACGACUCAUAAUCGUGAGGUCGGGAGAUCGAUGCUCCCCCGAGCUACAA
rnacentral:tRNA from 1 species